rnacentral:rRNA from 1 species
AUGCUAUGGUCAAUUUGGUAUGCUAGGCGCAAGGCAGUCUACGAGGCCAUAUUUCAGAGUCCGCAACAUACUGUUUCUUUCAUAAAUAACUUCAUUGCGGAACUAGGGCAAGUGCAAACUAAAGAUGAAGGAAGAAGAACCCCGGGCGUUCCCUCUGUACAGGUGAACAGGUGGCUGCCUCCCCCGACUGGCACCGUCAAGGUGAACGUGGAUGGGGCAGUAGCUAGGUCACGCCAUGGAGGAGCGGUCGCAGCAGUGUGCAGAGAUGAGACAGGCCUAUAUCUCGGAUCAUCGGCUAUCGUUAUCCAAGGUAUAAAUGACCCCGUGGUCUUGGAGACCUAUGCGUGUCGUGAAGCCUUAUCUUUGGCGGAUGAUCUUGCAGUACAGUCUAUAUGCGUUGCCUCGGAUUGCCAGGGAGUCAUCAAAAUUCAUUGUAAUAGCUUUACUUCUUGUUUUUUCAUCCAUGAGCGUAGGAACCAUAAUUAUGAGGCUCAUAAUCUCGCCAAAUUUGCUUGUAAUCUAGAUGUAGGUAGACAUGUUUGGUUGGGCAUUCCUCACGACCCAAACCGUGUACCUAUGACAUUUGCUGAUAAUUAA